UACGUAGGGUGCGAGCGUUAAUCGGAAUUACUGGGCGUAAAGCGUGCGCAGGCGGUUCGUUGUGUCGGUGGUGAAAGCCCCGGGCUUAACCUGGGAAUGGCCAUGGAAACUGGCGAACUGGAGUGUGGCAGAGGGGGGUGGAAUUCCGCGUGUAGCAGUGAAAUGCGUAGAGAUGCGGAGGAACACCGGUGGCGAAGGCGGCAUCCUGGACCGGUAUUGACGCUGAGGCGCGAAAGCCAGGGGAGCAAACGGG
rnacentral:rRNA from 1 species